rnacentral:rRNA from 1 species
GAUGAACGCUAGCUACAGGCUUAACACAUGCAAGUCGCAGGGUAACAUGAGGAAAGCUUGCUUUCCUUGAUGACGACUGGCGCACGGGUGAGUAACGCGUAUCCAACCUUCCCAUAACUACGGGAUAACCCGUUGAAAGACGGCCUAAUACCGUAUGAUAUCGUUUGCUGACAUCAAAUAACGAUUAAAGGUUUAGCGGUUAUGGAUGGGGAUGCGUCUGAUUAGCUUGUUGGCGGGGUAACGGCCCACCAAGGCGACGAUCAGUAGGGGUUCUGAGAGGAAGGUCCCCCACAUUGGAACUGAGACACGGUCCAAACUCCUACGGGAGGCAGCAGUGAGGAAUAUUGGUCAAUGGGCGAGAGCCUGAACCAGCCAAGUAGCGUGCAGGACGACGGCCCUAUGGGUUGUAAACUGCUUUUAGGUGGGGAUAAAGUGCGUGACGUGUCAUGCAUUGCAGGUACCACAUGAAUAAGGACCGGCUAAUUCCGUG